GGAGGGAGCGAGCGUUGUUCGGAUUUACUGGGCGUAAAGGGCGUCUAGGCGGUAUGGAUAGUCGGAUGUGAAAUCCCUCGGCUUAACCGGGGAACUGCAUUCGAAACUUCCAAACUAGAGUACGGCAGAGGUAAGCGGAAUUCUCAGUGUAGCGGUGGAAUGCGUAGAUAUUGAGAAGAACACCAGUGGCGAAGGCGGCUUACCAGGCUGAUACUGACGCUGAAGCGCGAAAGCCAGGGGAGCGAACGGGGGAUUAGAUACCCCGGUAGUCCUGGCCGUAAACGAUGUGCACUGGGUGUAGGAGGUAUCGACCCCCCUUCUGUGCCGAAGUUAACGCAUUAAGUGCACCGCCUGGGGAGUACGGGCGCAAGCCUG
rnacentral:rRNA from 1 species